rnacentral:rRNA from 1 species
GAUGAACGCUGGCGGCGUGCCUAAUACAUGCAAGUCGAGCGAACAGACGAGGAGCUUGCUCCUCUGACGUUAGCGGCGGACGGGUGAGUAACACGUGGAUAACCUACCUAUAAGACUGGGAUAACUUCGGGAAACCGGAGCUAAUACCGGAUAAUAUAUUGAACCGCAUGGUUCAAUAGUGAAAGACGGUUUUGCUGUCACUUAUAGAUGGAUCUGCGCCGCAUUAGCUAGUUGGUAAGGUAACGGCUUACCAAGGCAACGAGGCGUAGCCGACCUGAGAGGGUGAUCGGCCACACUGGAGCUGGGACACGGACCAGACUCCUACGGGAGGCAGCAGUAGGGAAUCUGCCGCAAUGGGGGAAAGCCUGACGGAGCAGCGCCGCGUGAGUGAUGAAGGUCUUCGGAUCGUAAAACUCUGUUAUUAGGGAAGAACAAAUGUGUAAGUAGACAUGCACGUCUUGACGGUACCUAAUCAGAAAGCCACGGCUAACUACGUG